rnacentral:rRNA from 1 species
UGGGGAAUAUUGCACAAUGGGCGCAAGCCUGAUGCAGCCAUGCCGCGUGUAUGAAGAAGGCCUUCGGGUUGUAAAGUACUUUCAGUCGGGAGGAAGGUGGUAAGGUUAAUAACCUUAUCAAUUGACGUUACCGACAGAAGAAGCACCGGCUAACUCCGUGCAAGCAGCCGCGGUAAUACGGAGGGUGCAAGCGUUAAUCGGAAUUACUGGGCGUAAAGCGCACGCAGGCGGUUGAUUGAGUCAGAUGUGAAAUCCCCGGGCUUAACCCGGGAAUUGCAUCUGAUACUGGUCAGCUAGAGUCUUGUAGAGGGGGGUAGAAUUCCAUGUGUAGCGGUGAAAUGCGUAGAGAUGUGGAGGAAUACCGGUGGCGAAGGCGGCCCCCUGGACAAAGACUGACGCUCAGGUGCGAAAGCGUGGGGAGCAAACAGG